UUGGCUCGCAGCCGUCAACCACGGUUCACCAGUCCACCGCACCACGGCCGACACCAAUUCUCUACCAUCCUAACUCCUAAGCAUUAGCCGAGUCCAUGGCCUCACCUGGGCUACUCACUACUCUGUAGAAGAUCCACUCUUCCUCCUCUAUUGGUAUGGAAUCUAGGCCUUGAAGAGCAGAGGAGCGGGAGAGAAAGGUUUCAAUUUGGAGUAGUUCUCUUUGGAUGCAGACUUGUGAUUCAUGCCUUUGCCUCAAUUGGAUUUAAUUAGAGGGUGAGUUGAGGUCAUUAUUAAUUAACUUCAGUUGUUUGAGAGUAAAAUCCUAGUGUUAAUUUUGGUGGGUUGUUGGUGAAGAGCUGUAGUUGAAGAAAUGGAAGACAAAGGUUGAAGUUUGGCGUGGUUUGUAUUUGGGUAAAGAUAUUAUCGUAUGCUUAAUUAAUCUGAAAAUUUGAUAAAUCAAUAUGGUAGCCAAGAUGAAUUCCCAGAAGAACAAAAGUUCAAUUAUGGAGUGCAAAUGCAAGUGGAUAAUCCCAUUCCGUUUCUGUUUAAUCUUGUUGGAUUAAUAUAAGUUACAACCUUAUAAUUCUUGUUUGUAAUUGCUAUGUUCACAGGU